rnacentral:lncRNA from 1 species
CUCUAGCAGGAAAAGUUCGUGCUUUAAGAGGUAAUGGGAUGACACUGUGGGAGAGUAUCUGCAGCUACCUGAACCUCUGCCAGCCUGAGCUAAGGAAGGACACACCUCCAGAGCCCAAUACUGCCAUUCAGGCCUCCCUCCCAACAGUUCAUAACCGUGUCAUGCGCUCUGCAUGUCCGCGGUUUGCUAGCAGGACAGUGAACCAGCGCAAGGAAUGAUUUGCCUUCUAAGUUAAAAAUGCUUUAAGAAUUUAAACCAUAUAUUGGGAAAGGGUAAAUGAGACUUACUGUAUUUCUUAAAGUGGAGUUUUCUUCUUUUUGCCACUGGACACUGCUGAAUGCUGAAAUGUCACCAGUCAAUUAUAUCUGUCAUACUUAGGUACAAACUGACGUGAGUGUGGACACAAAGCAUCAGACACUACAAGGAGUAGCAUUUCCUAUUUCUCGAGAUGCCUUCCAGGCUUUGGAAAAACUGAGUAAGAGACAGCUCAACUAUGUGCAGUUGGAAAUAGAUAUAAAAAAUGAAACAAUAAUUUUGGCCAACACAGAAAAUACAGAACUAAAAGAUUUGCCAAAGAGGAUUCCCAAGGAUUCAGCACGCUACCAUUUCUUUCUGUAUAAGCAUUCCCACGAAGGAGACUACUUAGAGUCCAUAGUUUUUAUUUAUUCAAUGCCCGGAUACACAUGCAGCAUAAGAGAGCGGAUGCUGUAUUCCAGCUGCAAGAGCCCUCUGUUAGAUAUUGUAGAAAGACAACUGCAGAUGGAUGUGAUCAGAAAGAGCCAUAACUCAGAAGUUUGGAAGCGGACUGACGUGUCCGGGAUUUGGAAGACCUUGACCUGAACCUCAUGCUGCCUGAGAUGGUGUCAGUAACGUACAUUUCAUGGAAUGAACUAUGAAGCACCCAUUGCAGAGCCUUAUUACCUAAGGUAAUACAUGCGCCUUUCAGAAAUUCAGUGUGGACUCACCUAGAUCACAGAGGAAUUACGAGCUGAUGGAAGUUUUUAAAAAUAGAUUUGUGUGUUUUGUUUGUUUACAAAUACGUAGACUUUACUACUUAAAUAUGCAGGAGAGUUGACAGUAAUGUUGCUCUUGUUUACGAGAGGUAAACUUUUUAGUCGUGCGUGUGUACACGUCAUCACACGUGCCCAUAGAGUGCUGCAGCGAGAGACCUGGAGCUGUGACGCAGACCUUCCAGAGCUGCCGUUUCAAGCAGAGGGGGUGCUUUGCGUCCUGGGUCCAGACCCGGUGGGGACUGUUCUGAAGCAGUGUGUGCAAUGAUGCGCUGAAGCCUGUCACACUACAGCGGUCACUGACAUUCCACAGAGAUGUGACCUUGUAACCUACUAAUAAUCAAACCAAUGAUUGCUGAGAAUCACGUAUGCAUUUGUCUUAGGGAAUAACCCAUUGUUUACAGUAUGUUUUAGGUGACAAUAGAUGUGAAUAACAUUCCCAAUAAAUUUAUAUAGCAGUGAAAAAUGACAUGUCUUCUGUGGACAUUUUAUAAGUGCAUUUUAUAUCAAUAAAAUUUUUCUCUUUGAGUU